rnacentral:rRNA from 1 species
UACAGAGGUCUCAAGCGUUGUUCGGAUUCAUUGGGCGUAAAGGGUGCGUAGGCCGCGCGGUAAGUCGGGUGUGAAAUCUUGGAGCUUAACUCCGAAACUGCAUUCGAUACUGCCGUGCUUGAGGACUGGAGAGGAGACUGGAAUUUACGGUGUAGCGGUGAAAUGCGUAGAUAUCGUAAGGAAGACCAGUGGCGAAGGCGGGUCUCUGGACAGUUCCUGACGCUGAGGCACGAAGGCCAGGGGAGCAAACGGG